GAUGAACGCUGGCGGCGUGCCUAAUACAUGCAAGUCGAGCGAACGGACGAGAAGCUUGCUUCUCUGAUGUUAGCGGCGGACGGGUGAGUAACACGUGGAUAACCUACCUAUAAGACUGGGAUAACUUCGGGAAACCGGAGCUAAUACCGGAUAAUAUUUUGAACCGCAUGGUUCAAAAGUAGAAGACGGUCUUGCUGUCACUUAUAGAUGGAUCCGCGCUGCAUUAGCUAGUUGGUAAGGUAACGGCUUACCAAGGCAACGAUGCAUAGCCGACCUGAGAGGGUGAUCGGCCACACUGGAACUGAGACACGGUCCAGACUCCUACGGGAGGCAGCAGUAGGGAAUCUUCCGCAAUGGGCGAAAGCCUGACGGAGCAACGCCGCGUGAGUGAUGAAGGUCUUCGGAUCGUAAAACUCUGUUAUUAGGGAAGAACAUAUGUGUAAGUAACUGUGCACAUCUUGACGGUACCUAAUCAGAAAGCCACGGCUAACUACGUG
rnacentral:rRNA from 1 species